GGGAUAAUGCAAAGUAGUCAUUUGACCUGAGGCAUCAUAGUUGUCUUGUGGUUAGGUCCUUGAUCUUUGAUUAUGUCAAAGUCACUCCAUUCGCGGGUGUCCAUGGCAUAGUUGGGGUUAAGCCACUUAGCUAUGGAGGCAAGUGAAUGCGCAACAAGGGAUCUCUAACCUUCAAACCGUUUGAGGGAGAAUACUCUAUGAUAUGAUUAAGAAUCUUUGGCCAAAGUAUGAAUGAGAUUUAGGAAGGCGUUCCAAAUCACAUUAAAGGUAAUCAUAUAAGUAAAUGAAACACAUUGGAUAGUAGACAUGAAUAAACUAUCAAACCAAACAAUGUGGUCAAGAGUAUUGUAUUAGAGAAAGACCGUAUUGCAUUGUAAUCCUAAACUGAAUUGGUUCUCCACCUCUUCUGAUUAGCUUGGGUAACCAUGAUAUGCUGCUAGGUGUCACUCAUGGUUUGUGGAAGCC
rnacentral:lncRNA from 1 species